CAUUGGGGGCGCAACGCCCUCGA
rnacentral:sRNA from 1 species